ensembl:lncRNA
GUAAAUGAAAAUGUAAAUGAAAAUGAAGGUUAUAAUGACGGUCAAGAAGAUGACAAAAAUGAUGAAAAUAAUGUUUUGUCAAAAGAAAAAAAUUUAAAAUAUUCAAAAAAAAAAAUGUUACCGUUUUUACCUAUCGAAACACAUAAAUUAGCAAAGUUUUGUAAUGUUAUAAGAGAUUAUGAAAAAGAUUAUAAUUUAAACUUGUCUGUACAUAGUCAAUGGUUACCUGUUUUAUUUAAUAUGCCAAUUGUUAAUAAAUUACCACAUUGGGUUAAAAAAUGUAAAUAUUGUUGUUUCAAAAUGACUGAGUUGAAUAAUAUUCAAAAUAGUAAAGAAAGCAUCACUUCUUUUUUAUCUAAUCAUCAAGAAAAUGAAAAACAAACGGAAGAUAAAACAGAAAAUAAAAUAGAGGAUAAAAUAGAGGAUAAAAUAGAGGGUGAUAUUAAGAAAGGUAAGAAUAAUAAUAGUAAUGAAAAUAUUGAUGAAAAAGAUGAAACGAAUAAUGAACGUGAUAAAAAACAGGAUGAUGGUGAUGGUGAUGAUGUAGAAAAUAAUAAUAAAAAUGAUAAAAAUGACAAAAAUGAUAAAAAUGAUAUGAACGAAUAUAAUGACUCAAAUGUUGAUGGAAAUAAUGAUAACGAAAAAAAUACAGAUGUUGAAGAAAAAGAAAAUGAUAAAGAUAAAAAUGAUCAAAAAGAUAAUAAUAAUAAUAAUAAUCAAAAAAAUAAAAAAAAAAAUAAAGAAAAAAAAGAAGAUACUGAUGAAUAUAAUGUUUUAAAAAUACCACCACAAGUUUUUGAUUAUCCAAUUGAUCAAUUAGGUCAUGUAAAUGAAUGCUUUUUAUUUAAACUUUAUUCUAUUAAUAGUAAAAGUAUUUUAAUUUCAAGACUAACAUUAAAAUAUGAUCCUAGAAUAUCAGGAUGGAAAGGAGAUAAUAAAAUUAAAAAAGAUAUGAUAAACAAUAUGUCUAUGAAUAUGAACAAUAUGUCUAUGAAUAUGAAUAAUAUUUCGAUGAAUAUGAAUAAUAUGCCUAUGAAUAUGAAUAUAAUGAAAAAUAUGAACAUGAUGAACAUGCAUAAAUAUAAAGGUGGUAAAUACAAAAAUAAUAAAUCAGGUAAAGAUGAUUAUCAACAACAAUACAAAAAUAAUUUAAAUUAUGGAAUGAAUAAAAAAGGAAAUAUUAAUAUGCCUCCACCACCUCCUAACAAUAUGAAUAUGCAACAAAAUAAUGUAGGGGUUAUGCAAAAUCAAAAUAUGAAUUACAAACAAAAUAAUUUCCCUUAUGUUAAUAAUUUUAAAUGUAUGGCAAAUAAUUUAUCACAAAAUGUACCUAAUGUUAUAUCUAAUAUUCCUAUGGCAGUUAAUCCAAAUAUUGCAAGUAUGACAAACAUGGCCAACAUAACAAAUAUGGCAGCUGGAAUGACAGGCAUGACAAACAAUAUGAUGAAUCCAUACAUGAAUGGCACAUAUAACCCUAAUUAUCGAAACAAUAUGUAUGACCAAAAUAUUCCUAUUCCACCUCCCAUGAAUAAUUUUAACAAAAAAAUGUACCAAGGACAUAAUAUGAACAUUAAAAGAAAAAACGAUUUAUACAAUUGUGAUAGCAUGGAAAAGUGCUACGAUAACUAUAAUAUGAAGGAUAACUACAAAUCAGAUGACGAUAGCUGUAAGAACUUCAUUUCUUAGUUUUAAUACGUGUGUAAUAUAAACUUUGUUUUGUGUAUAAUAUAAGCGUUUUAAUAAAAAAAAAAAAAAAAAAACUAGCA